GUGCUUACUUGGGCAGCACAAGUACUAAAAUUGGAAUGAUACAGAGAUUUGUAUGGCCCCUGUGAAGCAACGCAAAUACAUGAUGUCUUCUGUAGCAAGAGUCU
rnacentral:snRNA from 1 species